CCAGACUCCUACGGGAGGCAGCAGUGGGGAAUAUUGCACAAUGGGGGAAACCCUGAUGCAGCGACGCCGCGUGAGUGAAGAAGUAUUUCGGUAUGUAAAGCUCUAUCAGCAGGAACGAGACAAGACGGUACCUGACUAAGAAGCCCCGGCUAACUACGUGCCAGCAGCCGCGGUAAUACGUAGGGGGCAAGCGUUAUCCGGAAUCACUGGGUGUAAAGGGAGCGUAGACGGCUGUGCAAGCCUGAAGUGAAAGGCGGGGGCCCAACCCCUGGACUGCUCUUGGAACUGCGCGGCUGGAGUGCAGGAGGGGCAGGCGGAAUUCCUGGUGUAGCGGUGAAAUGCGUAGAUAUCAGGAGGAACACCGGUGGCGAAGGCGGCCUGCUGGACUGCGACUGACGUUGAGGCCCGAAAGCGUGGGGAGCAAACAGGAUUAGAUACCCGGGUA
rnacentral:rRNA from 1 species